ensembl:lncRNA
GCUGGCCUGGUGUUGAAUCAGAGGGUUUAGUUGGUUUUUCACAAAGUGCAAUGAAUUAAUACUACAGAAUAGUAGACUGAUACACAGCCAAUACACUUGCUGGAGGUAUGAACCUAUAACAAUUGUUUAUGGCGGACCGCCAUAAUACCAAAGAAGAAGAAGACCACUUCCUUCUCAACUGCUUCGAGGCUGCUCGGUGAAACGGAAGUAUAAGUACAUUGACAACUGCGGAGAUUGCAGUGCUGUUAAGUGCUGAUUGACAACUGCAGACUUCGGAUUGAACAUACUUUGGGUUUCACUGGUUCGCUGCACGAACAGCGCAGCGGUAAUCAGUCUGGUAUUUUAUAGGCUACACUUACUGGGCCUCAGAUAAUUAAAACUAUCUGGACUCCCGAAGAGGACGUUGUUCCAACAGACUCGUAUAGAGUUAGACGAGAACAGAUAACAGGAUUCUUGGUGAAUAGGGUGUUGAACGUUUUCCUGACUUUAAUAGAUCAGGACAGAGCUAGUCCGUCCCCCUCCACCCUGCCGGAGUCCCCUGGUCACAACUCUCCUGGUAGCACCUUACUGCUGGGUCUCAAGAGGGUUUUGUGCGGCUGGUCGAC